CCCUUAGAUGAUCUGGGCUGCACGCGCGCUACACUGAAGCUAUCAACACGUUUUCCCUCCCUGAGAAGGGCGGGUAACCUUUUGAAUCAGCUUCGUGGUAGGGAUCGGGGCUUGCAAUUGUUCCCCGUGAACCAGGAAUUCCUAGUAGACGCGAGUCAUAAGCUCGCAUCGAUUAAGUCCCUGCCCUUUGUACACACCGCCCGUCGCUACUACCGAUUGAACGUUUUAGUGAGGCAUUUGGACCGACGCAUCUCAGUUUAACCGCUGGUUUGUGUUGGAAAGACUUCCAAACUUGAGCGUUUAGAGGAAGUAAAAGUCGUAACA
rnacentral:rRNA from 1 species